GACAGAGGUGCCAAGCGUUAGGCGGAAUCACUGGGCUUAAAGCGUGUGUAGGCGGACCUGUAAGUGCCUUGUGAAAUCCCAUGGCUCAACCAUGGAACGGCUGGGCAUACUGCGGGUCUUCGAGCGUGUCUAGGGGGCAACCGGAACAAACGGUGGAGCGGUGAAAUGCGUAGAUAUCGUUUGGAACGCCAAUAGUGAAAACAGGUGCUGGGGACAUGCUGACGCUGAGACACGAAAGCCAGGGGAGCGAACGGG
rnacentral:rRNA from 1 species